rnacentral:rRNA from 1 species
UACCGUGAAACUGCGAAUGGCUCAUUAAAUCAGUUAUCGUUUAUUUGAUAGUACCUUACUACUUGGAUAACCGUGGUAAUUCUAGAGCUAAUACAUGCUAAAAACCCCGACUUCGGGAGGGGUGUAUUUAUUAGAUAAAAAACCAACGCCCUUCGGGGCUCCUUGGUGAAUCAUAAUAACUUAACGGAUCGCAUGGCCUUGCGCCGGCGACGGUUCAUUCAAAUUUCUGCCCUAUCAACUUUCGAUUGUAGGGUAUUGGCCUACAAUGGUAUCAACGGGUAACGGGGAAUUAGGGUUCGAUUCCGGAGAGGGAGCCUGAGAAACGGCUACCACAUCCAAGGAAGGCAGCAGGCGCGCAAAUUACCCAAUCCCGACACGGGGAGGUAGUGACAAUAAAUACUGAUACAGGGCUCUUUUGGGUCUUGUAAUUGGAAUGAGUACAAUUUAAAUCCCUUAACGAGGAACAAUUGGAGGGCAAGUCUGGUGCCAGCAGCCGCGGUAAUUCCAGCUCCAAUAGCGUAUAUUAAAGUUGUUGCAGUUAAAAAGCUCGUAGUUGAACCUUGGGCCUGGCUGGCCGGUCCGCCUCACCGCGUGCACUGGUCCGGCCGGGCCUUUCCUUCUGGAGAGCCGCAUGCCCUUCACUGGGUGUGUCGGGGAACCAGGACUUUUACUUUGAAAAAAUUAGAGUGUUCAAAGCAGGCCUUUGCUCGAAUACAUUAGCAUGGAAUAAUAGAAUAGGACGUGCGGUUCUAUUUUGUUGGUUUCUAGGACCGCCGUAAUGAUUAAUAGGGAUAGUCGGGGGCAUCAGUAUUCAAUUGUCAGAGGUGAAAUUCUUGGAUU